rnacentral:rRNA from 1 species
UGGGGAAUAUUGGACAAUGGGCGAAAGCCUGAUCCAGCCAUGCCGCGUGUGUGAAGAAGGUCUUCGGAUUGUAAAGCACUUUAAGUUGGGAGGAAGGGCAGUAAGCGGAUACCUUGCUGUUUUGACGUUACCGACAGAAUAAGCACCGGCUAACUCUGUGCCAGCAGCCGCGGUAAUACAGAGGGUGCAAGCGUUAAUCGGAAUUACUGGGCGUAAAGCGCGCGUAGGUGGUUCGUUAAGUUGAAUGUGAAAGCCCCGGGCUCAACCUGGGAACUGCAUCCAAAACUGGCGAGCUAGAGUAGGGCAGAGGGUGGUGGAAUUUCCUGUGUGGCGGUGAAAUGCGUAGAUAUAGGAAGGAACACCAGUGGCGAAGGCGACCACCUGGGCUCAUACUGACACUGAGGUGCGAAAGCGUGGGGAGCAAACAGG